AUGGCCAGGGGGGAGGGUGUACUGCCACACAAUCCACCCCGUGACCACAGUCACGAUUCGACUGGUUUCCUUGGAGUGGUGGUACAGUCACCUCUUGCCUCCAAAGUUAAAAGGGAGCGUAGUCUGAUGAAUUUGAUGCUCAUUGUGGGUCAUCAUUCCAUUCUGGUCUAGAAUUAAAGUGGAAUAUCGGACACAGGAAUAUUCAGUGCACGAACAGGUUUUAAGGGAGUAUACUUAACUGUUAGUACAGACUUCACUACCACACAUUUGAUAGAACUUAUUGCAAUAUAGAUGACAAUAAUCAUAAC